rnacentral:rRNA from 1 species
GACGAACGCUGGCGGCGUGCUUAACACAUGCAAGUCGAACGGAAAGGCCUCUUUCGGGGGGUACUCGAGUGGCGAACGGGUGAGUAACACGUGAGUAACCUGCCCUUGACUUUGGGAUAACUUCAGGAAACUGGGGCUAAUACCGGAUAGGAGCUCCUGCUGCAUGGUGGGGGUUGGAAAGUUUCGGCGGUUGGGGAUGGACUCGCGGCUUAUCAGCUUGUUGGUGGGGUAGUGGCUUACCAAGGCUUUGACGGGUAGCCGGCCUGAGAGGGUGACCGGCCACAUUGGGAUUGAGAUACGGCCCAGACUCCUACGGGAGGCAGCAGUGGGGAAUAUUGCACAAUGGGUGGAAGCCUGAUGCAGCAACGCCGUGUGCGGGAUGACGGCCUUCGGGUUGUAAACCGCUUUCGCUCAUGACGAAGCUUUGUGUGACGGUAGUGGGUAAAGAAGCACCGGCUAACUACGUG